rnacentral:lncRNA from 1 species
GCACAAUAUGUAUAGUGACAGAGGCACCAUUACUAAACAGAAAAUCAGCGAAAAUGUUUCACACUUGGUAUGACUAACCAUUUGUGGAUGUGAGUGCUGUGGCGUUUGUUUCUAGAUUUGCUGAUGUUGAUGUUAAAUUUGGUGUCGAUGGAACUGGGGUUGUGGCGGAUUCAGAAACAGAUGUUGGAGUUGGAUCUGCUCGUGUAGAUGAAGGGAAGGUAGAGUCAGACGAUGAAGCCUGUGUUGUGAUUGUCACUGAGUCUGAGGAUAAAGAUUGUGCCGUAGACUGUGAUGUUGAAGUGAAUGUUUGAGGUGAUGCUGUGAUGGGUUCUGAUGUUGAUGGUUGAUCUGGUGGUGUGGUGGAGCCUAAAGUAGUGGCUGCUGUUAGAGAUGGUGUUGUGGUGGUUUGUAGUAUUGAUGUUGAUGCUGAAGAUAAUGCAGUCAAUUCUAGUGUUGAGGUUGGUGUUUGAGGUGUAAUUGUGGUGGGGUUGGAUGAUGAUGGUUGAUCUGGGGAUGUGGUGGAGUCUGAGGGGGCUGAUGAUGAUAGAGCUGGUGUUAGGGUGGUUGAUGUUUGAGGUGUAAUUGUGGUGGGGUUGGAUGAUGAUGGUUGAUCUGGGGAUGUGGUGGAGCCUGAGGGGGCUGGUGAUGAUAGAGCUGGUGUUAGGGUGGUUGGUUUUUGAGGUGUAAUUGUGGUGGGGUUGGAUGAUGAUGGUUGAUCUGGGGAUGUGGUGGAGCCUGAGGGGGUUGGUGAUGAUAGAGCUGGUGUUGUGGGCUCUAAGGCUGUGGUUGGUGUUGAAUGUGUCAUUGUGGUGGGGUUGGAUGAUGAUGGUUGAUCUGGGGAUGUGGUGGAGCUUGAGGGGGCUGAUGAUGAUAGAGCUGGUGUUAGGGUGGUUGGUGUUUGAGGUGUCAUUGUGGUGGGGUUGGAUGAUGAUGGUUGAUCUGGGGAUGUGGUGGAGCCUGAGGGGGCUGAUGAUGAUAGAGCUGGUGUUAGGGUGGUUGAUGUUUGAGGUGUAAUUGUGGUGGGGUUGGAUGAUGAUGGUUGAUCUGGGGAUGUGGUGGAGCCUGAGGGGGCUGAUGAUGAUAGAGCUGGUGUUAGGGUGGUUGAUGUUUGAGGUGUAAUUGUGGUGGGUUUGGAUGAUGAUGGUUGAUCUGGGGAUGUGGUGGAGCCUGAGGGGGCUGAUGAUGAUAGAGCUGGUGUUAGGGUGGUUGAUGUUUGAGGUGUAAUUGUGGUGGGUUUGGAUGAUGAUGGUUGAUCUGGGGAUGUGGUGGAGCCUGAGGGGGUUGGUGAUGAUAGAGCUGGUGUUGUGGGCUCUAAGGCUGUGGUUGGUGUUGAAUGUGGAGUUCUACUGAGCUCAGAAGGUGAAGUUGAUAAAAGAGCUGGUGUGGUGCUGGGUUGUGAUGUAGACAUGUGUGAUGGAACUACUGAUGCCGUGGGUUGGGGUGUUGAGGACAUUAUUGGAGGCGAUGUUGGGGAAGGUUCGGUUGUGGGGAUAGGCGUUGGACCUAAAGAUGUAGAGGCCUCAGUUGCAGAGGUGUCUGCUGAUG